rnacentral:rRNA from 1 species
AUUGAACGCUGGCGGCGUGCCUAACGCAUGCAAGUCGAGCGGUAACAGGUGUAGCAAUACAUGCUGACGAGCGGCGAACGGGUGAGUAAUGCUUCGGAACCUUCCCAUGUAGUGGGGAAUAACUAGCCGAAAGGUUAGCUAAUACCGCAUACGUCCUACGGGAGAAAGCAGGGGAUCGCAAGACCUUGCGCUAUUGGAUGAGCCGAAGUCGGAUUAGCAGUUGGUAGGGUAACGGCCUACCAAGGCGACAAUCCGUAGCUGGUCUGAGAGGACGACCAGCCACACUGGGACUGAGACACGGCCCAGACUCCUACGGGAGGCAGCAGUGGGGAAUCUUGCGCAAUGGGCGAAAGCCUGACGCAGCGACGCCGCGUGUGGGAGGAAGCUCUUCGGGGUGUAAACCACUGUUGCCCGGGACGAACAACGAGUUUCGACUCGUCUGACGGUACCGGGUGAGGAAGCACCGGCUAACUCUGUGCCAGCAGCCGCCGU